AAACUAUUACAUAUAGGACAGAUAAACAACAGAGUCCUACUGCAGAGCACAGGGAAUUAUUUUCAAUAUCCUGGGGUAAACCAUAAUAGAAAAGAAUAUAAGAAAGAAUGUAUGUAUGUUUAUAAAUGAGUCACUUUGCUGUACAGCAGAAAUUAACACAAAUUGUCAAUCAACUAUACUUCAAUAAAAAACUAAAUUUAAACAAGUUCUGAGUUCAAAUCGUAGUUCUGGUAGAUAUUGCCUUUAUAACUUUGAUUACUUGUUCUCUUAUUGGCUCAAUUUUCUUAUCUCUAAAACUGAAACAAAAGAGAUGAUACUGUGGUGGUGGUGUGAAAAUUAAGGAAAAAACUUAAAUCAUCUGGAAUAGAGCAUAACACAGACAGGAAACUUGGGAAACAUUAGUUGCUUAUUUUCCACUCCUCUUUUUAUUGUUUCUCUGAAGAAUGAAUCAACAAUGGCCACAGUGGGAUAACAUCUGCCUGUCUGCUUGAGCUGCUGUAACAAAAUACCAUAGACUGAGCAGCUUAAACAGACACUCAUUUCUCACAGUUCUGGAGGUUGGGAGGGUGCCAGAUCAAGGCGUUGGGAGAUUGGGGUCUUGGUGAGGACCCUCUUCCUGGCUUCUCACUGUGUCCUCAUAUGCAAGGGGGAGAGGGAAUCUGGUCUUUCUUCCUCUUCUUCCAAGGUCAUUAAUUCCAUCAUGGGGACCCCACUGUCUUGACCUCAUCUGAACCUAAUUACCUCCUCAAAGCCCCACCUCUACAUACCAUCACAGUGGGAGUCAGGGCUUUAAGACGUAAGUUUUGAGGGGCACAAACCUUCAGUCCAUAACAACAUCUGCAUGACAGGCAGUGAUUUCAAAGACUGCAACUUUCUCUGUCUCCAUUCCAUACUUCCUUUCUCUGGUCUCAUUUGUAGUGCCCACCUCGUGCUCACUAGUAGGGAAGAUUCCAGAGAGAGAAUCCUAAGCCCCAAAGGACGCUGUGAGGUUGUUGAAGUUUGAGGAGCGUGAAUCCCCCAAUCUCCCUAGAGGUAAGAGAGAAGAAGAAGAUGGAGGAGGUAGGAGAGAUGGAGCCUAAUGUGGCUGCCACAUGGUCAAAGACCUCAUUUGCUGCAAGGUGGGCAGUGGGGGGGGGGGUCCCAGUGGCUUGUGACUGGUGACACUGAAGCUGGAACACAGGCUUCAUGUUAGGGAAUUAACAACUGCUUGCAACUCCACUUGGAACGCCAGGCUGGGCAGAUCUUGUUUGCUACACCGCUGUGAGGCUUAGGACAGCCUUGGUCCGAUUGCCCCAGAGCUGACAGCAAGGGGAGGUUAAAGGAGAUGAACUCAUGAAGAGUUCGGAGGGAAAGUUUUGAGUUUCUUUGGAGGCAAGAUUUGAGUGACUCAGAGAGGCUGCGGCAGGUAUGCAUGAAGGGGUGGGCGUAGCUGGCAGCAGACCACAGCUGCAAAAGGAGAAAUGAUGCUCUUCUGCACCCCACCAGCAGGCAAGAUGGAGACGGGGUACCUGGCAAAAUAUCCCCCUCCUUCCUUCCUUCCAUGGAUUUCCAUAGGCUGCGUGCUGAUUUUAAGAGGUACACACUGAAAUGUUAUCUAUAAUAUUUUCAUUUGAAUUAGAUUUUAGUUGAAUAAAAAUGAUAAGUAAGAAGAGGGGAAAGAGAAAAGAGCUAGCUGUGAUAUAACAUAAGUAUUAGAUAGGGUCCCAGCAGCUGAAAGUUCACACAGAGAGAUAAGACCUAAGUGCCUAGAGCAAUGAGAAAGAAUAACUGUUGCGUUUGGGGUAGAAUGCCAGAGGCAGAAAAAUCAAAUAAAGUAUUACUCCAAGUUCACUGGAAGAUAGUCCAUGAAAUCGGAGAAAGAAAACAUCUCAGCUUUCCCAUUCAUUAGGCUUAGUGACUGCUAAGAUUCUCUGUUUUCCCCUCUGUAAACUGAGGUUAACCGUAUUCUACAGGGCUGUUAUGGGGGAUUGAAUGAGAUGGAACAUGUUGUAUAGCUUAGGAUUCUCAGUUGCAGGCAACAGAAUCCAAUUUGGACAAGUUUAGGCUGAAAAAUAAUUUAUUGGAGAAUGGGUAACCUACAGAAUCUCCGUCAGGACGAGCGAACUGGGCUUAAGGGCUAUGUAGUCAGAGAUGGCUAAGAUUUGGUAGAGGAUCUAGUCGGGGGGGUGGCAGAGGACUGGCCCCCCUCUUAGUGCUGGGACACUGGGAGCUAUUGCUAGAAUCCCCCAUCACUGUUGCCCUAGGAAACUGGAUCUGCCUGCCAACAUGCUCACCAAAAUGGAAUCUGCACGGUACCCACUCCUUUAUGCUACACGCUUCAAAGCAAAGUCUGAAGCAGGCGGCUCUGAUGUCAAAAUCUAAGUCAUAUGUCAGGCCCCAGCUGCAAAGCAGUCCAGAAGAGAAUGUCUGGUGUCUAUAUGGAGGAAUCGCCCAGUCACGAGAAGGGUGUUGAAGAUGCUGGGAGACUGAAGGGAAAAUGACAAACGUUUACUGCAUACAUAUGUCUUCAGUUCACAUUCAUCUGAGAGCAAGGCAUUCAAUUUGGCAGUGAGGAGGGCACAGGAGGAGGCUGAAGGGGCUCCAGUCAGAGCUGUGGGCUGGGAGAACCUCUAAAAAUGGUUCUCCCAGCAGCAUCUCUGGACCCCACUGAUUGAGGGAUGUUGAAUUGGACUCAUGCUGAUGAAAUUCUUUAACCUCAGUGUUAGUUUCCUCCUCCUGUGAGAGGCUGGUGAACUCGUUUUUAAGGGUAAGCAGAAGCAGCCCUCUGAUGAAGUCCACUAAAUAAUUCGGCUCACUCUUUAGCAUCAGCUUAGUCCCCACUUCCAUUCUUCACGUGAACAUCGAAGUAGAGUUCAUAAAUGGUGCAUCGCUGUACAAGCCUUGCUAAGGCAAAAUACUCAUUGAGAAUCCAGGCCCUUCCCCUGUAAUGAGAACCUGGUAAAAACAAGCAAACCAAACAAAUAAACAAACAGAAAACCUAUUCUCCAGGAAAAGAAAGAAACACACCUGACACCCACCGGAGGAGUCUGCUGAGUGAAAACAAAAGAUUUUUCUUCUCACUGUUUCUUUUGUUACCAUAUAAAGAGGCUACUGAGAUUUCACAAGCUGGCCGGGCUCUGUCGUGGGCAGAGGGACAAGCACGAUUCCUGUGGGCAUAACUGCGUUGUCACAACAAGUUUCUGUUAAACCCGCUGAUGUGGCUGGUUUGAGGACCACACUUGGGGAACCACUGGCCUGGAGCCUCAUUCCCCCAACCUGCUGUUGGUUACACAGUAUUAUGGAAAGGUUUUGGAGUUUGGAACCAGAGAGCUAUGAGCACAAAGCCUGUUGCUAUUCCUCAUUACAUGCAUGGCCUUGAGCAAGUUACUUAACCUUGCUGGGAAUUAAUUCCCUCCUUGCUGUAAACACACCCACUGAUGAGGUCAUCUCUGUAAAGCCCAUAAGCACAGUGCUUGGCAAAUGUUCAGGCAAGUGGCCCACGCUCUACCAGUGACACUAACCUGUGUGAGGCUGAUUGAGGAGCGAUGAUAUGAAGAAGCAGGUUCCAUGAGGAAUGCAUCUUUUAGCCAGGAUGGUGGUGAAGACAUCAAGCUUUUAGAAGACAGGAGUGGUGAAAGUUCUGGCAUCUGACAUCCAGCAAUGUGGGCACGGUCUGUCAUGUUCAUGCCCGUUCUGGGGCAGUGAGCGCUGCCUGGAGUAGGCCUGUGGUUGAACUGGGAACUGUUCCUGCAUCGGUAGCCUCCAUACAGAUUCUCUGGGCCUCCCACAGAUUCCGGGAGAUAGCUAAUACACAGGAACUGUUCAAUUCUUCAGAUUAAACUGGCUAGAAUAAAUCUGUAACUAAGAACCCCUGUACUUACAUUCUAUCCCUGGAAUAAUGCAUAGCACGUAACAGGUGUUCUGUGAUAUUUGUUGAAUGGAAUAAUUCAGUAAGUCUUUACUAUGCUUGAGCACAUGCAUAGGAAGCUGUGUGGAUUGAUCCUGACAAACUUAUUAAUGUCAUCUACUCCAGUAGACUGUAGAAUCCCUCAAGAUAUUUGCUGUCCUUCCAUAGAAAGGAUUAAAUUUAUCUGCUUCAUUGAUGCAGCCUUGGCCAUGUCUUGCUGUGGCUGGUAAAAUGCCAGCAGAAGUGAUGGAUAUCAUUUCUGAACAGAAAAUUUAAGAACCAGCAUCUGAGCCUCUGAGUUCUUUUAUUUUCCCUCUCUGAUAAGAGGCAAGAUUCCAAAAAGAGAGUGCUCUGUUAGCUGAGGUCCUAGAGAGAAUGUGACAUAAAGAAGGGAUGAGGCUGACCUGCAGUGAACAUGCAGCAUGGUGGAGGGCAAGUCAGGGAGAUGUUGACGUUGUUUAUUUCCUUGGUAUAACCUAGUUUGUCCUAAUGGAUACACCUGCUUAUAGUUGCAGACACCAAGGACAAAUGGUAAUUGAGAUAUGAUUUGAAUCCAGGCAUUUUUACCUGGGAGCCCAUUAUAUCUUAACCAUAUGCUAACCCUGACCCAGCUUAAAGAAGAAGACAAAAGUAAAAACCAACACCAAUCAUCGAUAUAAUUAUGAAUGAGAAAUUAGAAAUAACCACACAUUCUGAGGAUGUUUAAAGCACUAUUAAACAGCACCUUGCAAGACAAUAUGCAAAUGUAUUUGGAGACUUGGAUGAGAGGAUAAUUUUCUACGGAACAAAAUUAACCUCAGAAGAUAAAAAGACAUGAAACAGAAUGACCACCACAAUAGAAAUGGAAAAAUUAUUAAAGAUCUACUACCCACCUCCCUGACUCCUACACCUGCUGGCCACUGCUGAAAAUAUAGCGUAGCUUCCUUCAUGGGUGAAUUGUUUCAAAUCUUUAAGUAACAGGUAAUUCCAGUGCUAUUUAACCUGUUCCAGAGCAUUGAGAAAUAUACAAAGCUUUCAAAUUAUUUUUAGAAAGCCAAAGUAACAUUGUACCAAAACCUACAAAGAUAGCACUAAAGAAGAAAUCUAACAUCCAAUCUCACUUAAGAAUAGGGCUGACAAAUCUUAAAUGAAAUAUUAAAAAUACAUAACUCAACAAAACAUUAAAAUACAGCAAAUGAAAUUCAUUUCGCAAGCUAAGUACUUGACAUAUAUUAUGAUAAUGCAUUCUACUAAUACAGAUCAAAGAAAAAAAUGUUCACCUCAAUCAAUGGCCAGAAGACAUUUAAUGAAGUUCAAUAAUUAGUUCUGAUUUAGAAACACAGACAGACAUGCAAACACAUAGGAAAACGAUAAUAGAAGAACACUUUCUUCACCAAACAACAAUAAAAAAUGUAUUUCAAGCCCUAAGUCAGACAUUAUGUGACUUUAAAAGACACUAGAAACUUUAAAACAAGGCUCCCCACUCUCAGGACUAUUUUGAGACAUUGUUUGCUAUGCACAGUCUACUACAGUUAGAUAAAUGUAGGAGUAAGUGACAGAAACACUAUAUCAAGAAGACUAAGAAAAUAAAUUGGAUAAACUAUGAGAACAAUGAGAUCUCAAAAAUGUAACUGUUUUCACACAAGUAAUAAGUACACAUACACAGAACUUUUGUUUCUUCUUAAAAUAGAGUAAGAGGGAUUAAAUUUACCUUCUUAAUGGAAACAACCCAAAACCUGAUGAAAUAUAUAAAACAACAGUUUUUGAAACAAUGGUCAUCAGGCAGUGAAGCACACUGAUUCCUGAAACAGGGAAAGCAAACGAUGUGAGUCUUCUGAUUUCUCCAGUUUCCUGCCUUUAGACAGUUUCCAGCCUGUGGUUCAGGGAGAGGAAACCAGGUGGAACUCAGCUGAUUCCCUGAGUUGAGGAAAUUGUUUUAGGAAAGAGCAAUAAUUCAGGGAAUAGAAGAAAAAAUUUUAAAUCUAUAAUUAAAAUCUUCAGAGGAUCAAGAGAAGUUACUGUAUCCAUAGAAUAAGACUAACAUCUUAGUGAAAGGAGCAGUUCAAGACAAGAAGAAUUCUUGGAAGUUUGAAAUAUGAGAGAAGGAAAAUAAAGGAAGGUUGGAAAAUAAAGUUAAAGAAAUUUUCUUAGAUAUAGAGUAAAAACUAAAAAAAAAAACAAAAACCCACACAAAAAAACCCUGAAAAGUAAAGAGAAAAAUUAAGAAACUUGGAGAAUCAACCUAGUAAAUAAUAAGAAUUCCAGAAAUAGAAAUUUAAAAAAAACCCAAAAAACUGAGAGGAGGAAGAAGAGUAUUAAAAUAAUACAAGUAUACAUUUCACAAGAGAAGAAUUUGAGUUUUCUGAUAGAAAGAAUACACCAAGGACACAGUACAAUGAAAGAAAAAAGUGAUUCAUAUAAAUGUGUCUCAUCAUGAAAUACCCAUAAAUUGGGAAUAAAGAGAAAAAAACAUAAAUGUUUCUAAGAGGAAAAUUAGAUCAUUGCUGGAAGAAUAAGAAUGGUAUUUGUCUUCUCAAUAUACAUACGGGAAGCAAAAAAAACAAUGAAAAAACAUAUUCACAAUUCGAAAGAAACGAUUAUUACUAUUAUUUUUUUGUGUGUAGAGGGGGAGCUGAAUUCUAUACCCAGCCAAGCAAAACAGGAGUAAGGGACUUCCCUGGUGGCACAGUGGUUAAUAAUCCGCCUGCCAGUGCAGGGGACACAGGUUCGAGCCCUGGUCCAGGAAGAUCCCACAUGCCACGGAGCAACUAAGCCCGUGCGCCACAACGACUGAGCCUGUGCUCUAGAGCCCACAAGCCACAACUACUGAGCCCACGUGCUGCAACUACUGAAGCCCGAGCACCUAGAGCCCGUGCUCCGCAACAAGAGAAACCACUGCAACGAGAAGCCCAAGCACUGCAACGAAGAGUAGCCCCUGCUCGCUGCAACUAGAGAAAGCCUGCGCACAGCAACGAAGACCCAAAGUAGCCAAAAAUAAAUAACUAAAUUAAAAAAACAAAACAGGAGUAAGAGUAGACUACGACUAUAUUUUAAGACUAGCAAUGUCUCAAAAAUGUAUUCCUCGUAAACUCUUUCUCAAAUGAUACUGUAGCAUGUGCCUCUCAAAAACAAGGGGUUAAAAAAAGAAAGAGGAAAACAUGGGACCAGAAAUUCAGAGAGGGAAGGGAAAGUCCCAGGACUGCAGUGGAGCAAAUCAUCCUCAGUGGGAGAGGAGGAAGGAUGGCUCAGGUGAGAUUUCUUUAGGAAAAAAAUUGAACUGAUAGAUUUUUCUGAAGGAAAUGACUGCAAGGAAAUAGACUCAGAUGGGUUUUACAAUUCUUUGGGAGGAAUUAUCAUCAGUAAAUUUAUCUACUUACAUGUAUUAGAUAAGUCUUGCUCUAAAUUUUUUUCAUUCUUUUAAGUACGACAUUAGUUAUCAAUAACUUUUAUACCUUUCCAAUGUUAAAAGAAAAAAAUUCAAAAUGGUAAAAUUAUGACUCUCCUACAACUAUAAAGUGAACACAUGUCAAAGAUUUUAUUUAAGCCAUCAAUUAAUGAGGAAACCAGUAAGAUGUUACAACCAGUUCAAAGGAGAAUCCAUAGAACAGAUGUUUAAACAGGCAAUCGGUAACACUGAAGAGGAUUUCCCAAUAAAUGCAAAACCAGUCUCUUCCACUUGGGAGAAAUCAAUUGAAUUUCUGCUGGGCACAAUUCAUUUGCAUCUUUAUUGACAAGAUUCGUUUGCAUUACUAUCAGUUUUCUGUAAUUUAUAAAGUUGUAAAAUGGCUCAAAGACAAUGAAAGGCACCUAUCCUAUGGCAUCAGUUAACUCUGAAAGAUCCACUAGAUAAUGUAUAAUAGUUCAUUGAAAGAAUAUUCAGGGUUCUUUUUGACCCAUUGCAAAGUUUUUUUUUUUGCGGUACGCGGGCCUCUCACUGUUGUGGCCUCUCCCAUUGCGGAGCACAGGCUCCGGACGCACAGGCUCAGCGGCCAUGGCCCACAGGCCCAGCCGCUCCGCGGCAUGUGGGAUUCUCCCGGACCAGGGCACGAACCCGUGUCA